CACGUUUCGCAACCGCAACUGGCUCUUCCUCAUCGUCAAAAUAGUAAAAAUCAUCCAGACGAACACCACGCGAUGCUUCUUUUCCAACUUCAGAAUCCAUAUCAGUAUCCAUAUCAUCUAUUAUAGGCCCCAAGGACUCUAAUGAAUCCUGUUCUUGAGUAGGACUACACAAUUCCACUAACCCACCAGUCAAAUUGGUAUCUUCAUCCAUUGAAAUCCCACGAGAAUUUUGUAUACCUUGAGGAGCUUCAUAAAUGCGAUUGAUAGCAAAGUCCCCGAAACCUUGGAUAUGUAUUAAACGAUUCGGGUCUAAACCCUUGCCACGCACAAUUCCGCGAACUAAAAGAUUUCCGUUACUAUAAGAGAUUUCUUGAGACAACAAGUAAGAUCUUGAAUCACGCCAAUGUAUUCCACGUGGAUGUGAUGUACACAAUGCACGCAUAACGUUCAAAGCAUCCUGAGAAACAUCCGCGGCAAACACACGUUCUUGGUCUGAGAAAAAAAAGUUCAUAAAGCUCUGUAGCGACUUUUUAACUUCGUUCCGAGUCUUUAAACUAUCCACCUCAGAAAGAUCAUGUACCAUAGACAAAACACUGGAAAUUCCUUGCCCUUGAGUUGUGCGAACAAUGAGUUCGCCAAAUUCAUCAACUUCUUGGACAGCAGAAAGAACGAAAAUAACAUAAUCCGAAACUUUACAAGCAUCGAUAAGAGAAUAAAACUCCCGUUUAGGAAGCAGAAACAAUAAAUUCUGUUUAAACCGAUCAAUUGUUGUAGAAUAACUAAUCGAAUCCUUGUCAAACUUGGGCAAACUAGC